GUUCAGUCUGAGCGGGUAGUCGGUGUUGUCGUUUCGUUUCCCCAGGCCGAAACUGUAUUGUCUUCGUUUCCCAAGGCCGAAGGAGUAGUCGCGCCCUCUCUGGAAUAAUAGAACGUUUCGAGAAUGGGUUUGAGAAUCAUUAUGCUUGAAUGGCUUCACAGUGGAUAUGAAGAUUUUAAUAAUCCUGAUAUUCUCACCUUGUUGUCAUUGGUAUCGAUCCAACGCUUUCCAAUACCAAAAUUGUAGACGGGUAGCCUCUUAUAUUCGGAAACAUAAGUGUAUGCUCUCUUUUCAGGCACGGUAUCGUCGAACGCCAUAGGACUCAACAUAUUGUUAUAAUGUUGAAGAUUCAUAGACGAGGCUGGUGUUUCCUCCAUAGCUAAGGCUGACCUUCCCACGAUCCCGACGAAAUAGAGGAAAGCCAAGCUCGAUGUCAGAACACUUGUCCUGCUCCUCAUUCUGCACUUUGCCUCUUUUUAAGCCUGAUUUCAAAAAAAAAAAAAAAAGAUAAAUUGCAAUUGAAAUCGAUCGAUCGAUUCGAAACGAUAGUUUAAAAUUAAAUUCUCAGAGUUGGCGCACGGAUAAUUUUAUUCGCGCAGGGAGAAACAUUUUGAUUUCGAAGCAAAUCAGUUUCCAGGUUUCGAAUUGAGUUGGAAAAUGUCGCGAUGAAUAGCGAAUGACACGGAUUCUCGAAAAUUGCUUUUCCACGUAUCUAAUUUAUCAAGGAUUUGUGGUUUUCCCAGUUCGAAUCGAGUUUUAUACUUCUGCGAAUAUCGUGCUAUUUCGUUGGAAAAUUUUUGGUUAUUAAAUUACUAAUCCCAUUAAUUUUGUUACCAUACUCUGUAUCUCAUUGAAAUUCAAUACUAUUAAUUAAUGAUAGACAAACUGUUCAUUUAAAUUUAUCAUUGCUGCUGUUUACUUAUUUCUUUUUAUUUAAUCCUUUAUCAUAAGCCAUGACUUAUUUUACUUAAAAAAAAUUCUUAAAUGAUUGUAAAAAUAUUUGUGAAAUUUAUAACCAGAAAUUCCUUCUUUUUUUCCACGAAAUGUUCGAUCGUCAUAUUUUCUAUCCAAGAUUUUUGAUUCUCAGAAUUUCGGUUCACGGUUUAUCGUUGGAUACCGAGAUUGUUGGCUCGUGAAAAUUUCAGUGGCGACGUUUACCGUUUCAUUUCUGCGAGAAAUUAAAUCGGCCUCGAUUUAAAGUGGCAAUUCCGCGCGAGGGACGAGGGCAACGCGAGGGGAAAUGGAAUAUACGCUUUCCAGAGCUCAUCUCGUUUAAUUUGCAGGAUUUACAAUCGUUUCGUGGUUGUUGAAAGAAUACUUGGAUGCGCCGGAUAUCCAAAUAAAUCGUGAAGAAUUAACCACAUUGCGCUUUCCAAUUUGCAAUUUGUGAUCUUUUUUCGAGGGAUAGAAGAUAAAAAGAAGGGGAACACGAACAAUUGUCUGAUACAAUUCGGAAUUGAACGAAGAUUUUUAAAGAUUUGAUUAAAAUUUAUGAAUGAAUUUUAUUUACGAAGACGUUUAAAUUAAAUGAAAUUAACGAAGAAUGAUGUUGUAUCUAUGAAAAAUAAUUAUUCUAUUGCAUAAGAUCAAUAAUACGUUUGUGAAAAUAUAUUAAUAAAAAUUAGAAUACAAAGAGCAGUGGCUGUAGAGAGAGAAAUAAAAUAUCGCUUAAAAAUAAAA